rnacentral:tRNA from 1 species
UGGAAAGUAACUCAGUUGGUAGAGUAUGACACUUGCUUUUGGUGCAAGUUUUAUUGUUCCUGGUUCGAAUCCAGGUAUGCCCU